rnacentral:rRNA from 1 species
GACGAACGCUGGCGGCGUGCUUAACACAUGCAAGUCGAACGGAAAGGCCCUGCUUUUGUGGGGUGCUCGAGUGGCGAACGGGUGAGUAACACGUGUGUAACCUGCCCUUGACUUUGGGAUAACUUCAGGAAACUGGGGAUAAUAUCGGAUAGGAGCUCCUGCUGCAUGGUGGGGGUUGGAAAGUUUCGGCGGUUGGGGAUGGUCUCGCGGCUUAUCAGCUUGUUGGUGGGGUAGUGGCUUACCAAGGCUUUGACGGGUAGCCGGCCUGAGAGGGUGACCGGCCACAUUGGGACUGAGAUACGGCCCAGACGCCUACGGGAGGCAGCGGUGGGGAAUAUUGCACAAUGGGCGGAAGCCUGAUGCAGCAACGCCGCGUGCGGGAUGACGGCCUUCGGGUUGUAAACCGCUUUCGCCUGUGACGAAGCGUGAGUGACGGUAAUGAGUAAAAAAGCACCGGCUAACUACGUG